AACCUGUGAUGACUCGAUUCUGCCAAAUGAGUCUGCUGAUUAUACUCCUACCGUUCCAUUAUCUCUGAGGUU